GACGAACGCUGGCGGCGUGCUUAACACAUGCAAGUCGAACGGACAGGCCCUGCUUUUGUGGGGUGCUCGAGUGGCGAACGGGUGAGUAACACGUGAGUAACCUGUCCUUGACUUUGGGAUAACUUCAGGAAACUGGGGCUAAUAUCGGAUAGGAGCUACUGCUGCACGGUGGGGGUUGGAAAGAUUCGGCGGUUGGGGCUGGACUCGCGGCUUAUCCGCUUGUUGGUGGGGUAGUGGCUUACCAAGGCUUUGACGGGUAGCCGGCCUGAGAGGGUGACCGGCCACAUUGGGCCUGAGAUACGGCCCAGACUCCUACGGGAGGCAGCAGUGGAGAAUAUUGCACAAUGGGCGGAAGCCUGAUGCAGCAACGCCGCGUGCGGGAUGACGGCCUUCGGGUUGUAAACCGCUUUCGCCGGUGACGAAGCGUGAGUGACGGUAAUGGGUAAAGAGGCACCGGCUAACUACGUG
rnacentral:rRNA from 1 species